UACAGAGGGGGCAAGCGUUAUUCGGAAUUAUUGGGCGUAAAGGGCGCGUAGGCGGCUUUUCAAGUGACGGGUGAAAUCCCUCGGCUUAACCGAGGAACUGCCUGUCAGACUGGAAGGCUUGAGACCGGGAGAGGUGAGUGGAAUUCCCAGUGUAGCGGUGAAAAUGCGUAGAUAUUGGGGAGGAACACCAGUGGCGAAGGCGGCUCACUGGACCGGAACUGACGCUGAGGCGCGAAAAGCGUGGGGAGCAAACAGGG
rnacentral:rRNA from 1 species